rnacentral:rRNA from 1 species
ACUCCUACGGGAGGCAGCAGUGGGGGAAUAUUGCACAAUGGGGCGCAAAGCCUGAUGCAGCGACGCCGCGUGGGGGAUGAAGGCCUUCGGGUUGUAAAACCCUUUCAGCAGGGAAGAAGCGCAAGUGACGGUACCUGCAGAGAAGCGCCGGCUAACUACGUUGCCAGCAGCCGCGGUAAUACGUAGGGCGCAAGCGUUGUCCGGAAUUAUUGGGCGUAAAGAGCUCGUAGGCGGUUUGUCGCGUCUGCUGUGAAAUCCCGAGGCUCAACCUCGGGCCUGCAGUGGGUACGGGCAGACUAGAGUGUGGUAGGGGAGACUGGAAUUCCUGGUGUAGCGGUGGAAUGCGGCAGAUAUCAGGAGGAACACCGAUGGCGAAGGCAGGUCUCUGGGCCACAACUGACGCUGAGGAGCGAAAGCGUGGGGAGCGAACAGGAUUAGAUACCCUGGUAGA